UACGUAGGUGGCAAGCGUUGUCCGGAAUUACUGGGCGUAAAGCGUGCGUAGGCGGUCUUUUAAGUCUGCUGUGAAAUCCCCGGGCUCAACCUGGGAAUGGCAGUGGAUACUGGGAGGCUAGAGUGUGUCAGAGGAUGGUGGAAUUCCCGGUGUAGCGGUGAAAUGCGUAGAGAUCGGGAGGAACAUCAGUGGCGAAGGCGGCCAUCUGGGACAACACUGACGCUGAGGCACGAAAGCGUGGGGAGCAAACAGG
rnacentral:rRNA from 1 species